AUGCAGCGCUCCAGGAGGGAAUCGGGCUGGUGUUCGGGCGGUGGACGGCGCUGCAGAUGGCUGUGGAGAACGAGUGGGGCGGCCCCGUCCCGCGCCAAGGCCGACCAGCUCGCCGCGUCCAUCCUCUCCUGGUUCACCAACUCCAAGGGCCCAUAUUAUUACGAGGACUUGGAGGAUAUGAUGUUUGACAGCAUAUAUAAAUCCCUCAAUUCUAACUUUGCGGAUGGUAGCAUUGGGGAGGUUGCUGAACAAUUUUUGAUAAUGCAUGAAGAAUGCCUGGAAAACAACUUUUCAUCGAUUGAGAAAUUAAGGAAUACAUGUCCUCAAGGAAAUGCUGUUUCCCAAAGUAGACAGAUGGUAACCGAGGAUGAUGAUGAUAGCUCGGACGAUGGUGAUGAGCCAUCAAUGGGGCAAGAUGAAGCAGCUACAUCAGAGGAUAUGGCGGUAGAUCAGCCAAAACCUUCCAAGCCUACCCCUGAUGCUGAUGGGUGGACUGUUGUGCCUCCUAGGCGUGGCCGAGGCAAGAAUUAA
rnacentral:rRNA from 1 species